GGGCCCGCACAAGCGGUGGAGCAUGUGGUUCAAUUCGACGCAACGCGAAGAACCUUACCUGGGCUAGACAACGGCGGACCGUCCUAGAAAUAGGAUUUUCCCUUCGGGGACUGCCGGUUCAGGUGCUGCAUGGCUGUCGUCAGCUCGUGCCGUGAGGUGUUGGGUUAAGUCCCGCAACGAGCGCAACCCUUGUCCUUAGUUGCCACCAUUCAGUUGGGCACUCUAGGGAGACUGCCGGCGUUAAGCCGGAGGAAGGUGGGGACGACGUCAAGUCAUCAUGGCCCUUAUGUCCAGGGCCACACACGUGCUACAAUGGGCGGUACAAAGGGUCGCAAACCCGCGAGGGGGAGCCAAUCCCAAAAAGCCGCUCUCAGUUCGGAUUGGAGUCUGCAACUCGACUCCAUGAAGUUGGAAUCGCUAGUAAUCGCGGAUCAGCACGCCGCGGUGAAUACGUUCCCGGGCCUU
rnacentral:rRNA from 1 species